rnacentral:lncRNA from 1 species
CCCCGGCCGGAGGAGCCCCCGGUCCCGGCAGCGCCGCCGCCCAAGCUCCGGUGCCGCCGGCGCUGCCCGGUCCGGCCCGUCCUGCCGGGACUGCGUGGAUCCAGAUGCUCCCUCCAGCCUCUCUUUUUCUGCUCCUUCUGCUCCUCCUCCUCCGAUCCCACCAGCGCUGCCUCCCCCUCUCCCUUUAAUCGACGUUUCCGCUGAAAUGUACCCGGUUCCACGCAUUUCUUUGAUCUCACUAAGGGAAGAAGGGGGCUAUAGAAGAAAUUAAAUCGGCGCUGAAGGAGGAAAGGCAAGAGGAAAACACUCUCGGGGGAGGUUGUUAAAUGUCGCCUCUUUCACACCAGAGCAGCAGGCAAGAAAGAACCUUUCCUGGCCGGUGCCUGUCCCGGGUCACCUGCGCUUGGCGCUGGCCGGGGAUGCCCCGGGGCAGAGCAGGCGCUGGGGCGGCUCCGCUGGAGCCGAAGCCGCCGCGCAGGAGCCCCGGCCCCGCUCGAGCCUCGCUGGCAUGCGGGGAGCUGGCAGCCGAGCCCGGGGAAGCAGCCAGAGGAGGCUGGAGGCAAGUUGCUGUCGCUGAGGAGGGGCUCUGGUUCUCCCAAUCUGUACCCUGCCAGCUCUGCUGGCAACCGGCGUCAGUGGCCGGCCACGGUCUGUCCCGUGAGCCGAGCAAUCGCUGCCUUUGGACGGCCACAGGACCACGAGGAUGGAGCUGUGGUGAGGAGGAAAGAGCUGCUGGCCUGUUCCUGGAUUAAGGUUAAAGAGGGGGAGAGGCAAACAGACUCCUCACAGCUGCUGCUCCUCAAAUGUUUUAUUUCCUGCUCAGUGUAAGCCUGGAUUGACCUGCAGCAGCAGAAAAUGUCGAGCAACCACCGAUCUCCCUGAAAGGAGUAAAACCAUUAGAAAAUCCACGAGGAAACCCGAGUGGGUUGUGAACACCUGGGCCUUGUGGCUGGAAACACGGGGAGCUCUGGGAGGACCCUGACAGCUCUGGUGGGGGUGCGGGGGGUGUUGUGGGGCUGCUGGGACAGGGACAUGGGACGUCCCUUUCCCAGUGCAAAUAUCUGCCCAUCCCAAGGGACGUGGGGUGACCGCAGGGAGCUGGGGGCUGUCAGACCCCUUUCCUGGGGCUGGGAAACAGGGCUGGCCCAGGAGCCUUUCCCAGGAGCUCUGUCUGGCAGAGGGAUGCUGCCGCUCCCCGGCACCACACGGUGCAGGGAAUUCCCGGUGAGGCGGGACCUGCAGCCCGGGAAGGGAUGUGUGGGUGGUGUCGGGUUCGUUUAUUUUCUUAAUUAAAAAAGACAAAAAAAACACCAAAAAACCCAGCAACAAAAAAGCAACAAAGAGGGGGACGGACGGACACGGAACGGGACACGACGACUUCUUGUGUUUAUCACCAAAAAGCCCCGAAGCCGAGCCGCCGGUGCCCGGGGCGGCGGAUGCAGCGGCUCCGGUGCAACUUUCGGCUCCGUUUUGCGGGCAAAGCUGCGGUGCCCGAGGCGGGGGUCCUCGCCGCGGGUCUGAGAGGGGCCGUGCCGUCCCC